UACGUAGGAAGCUAGCGUUAUCCGGAUUUAUUGGGCGUAAAGGGGGUGCAGGCGGCUUGGCAAGUCGGAUGUAAAAUCUCCCGGCUUAACUGGGAGGGACCAUUCGAAACUGCCAGGCUAGAGUGCAUCAGGCGGAGAUGGAAUUCCCGGUGUAGUGGUGAAAUGCGUAGAUAUCGGGAGGAACACCAGUGGCGAAGGCGGUCUCCGAGGGUGUUACUGACGCUGAGGCCCGAAAGCGUGGGGAGCAAACAGGAUCAGAUACCCUGGUAGUCCACGCUGUAAACUAUGGACACUAGGUAUGGGGAGUAUCGACCCUCUCCGUGCCGAAGCUAACGCUUUAAGUGUCCCGCCUGGGAACUACGGUCGCAAGACUAAAACUCAAAGGAAUUGACGGGGGCCCGCACAAGCAGCGGAGCGUGUGGUUUAAUUCGAUGCAACGCGAAGAACCUUACCAGGGCUUGACAUGUCGGAAGUAGUGAACCGAAAGGGGAACGACCUGUCAAGUCAGGAGCCGUCACAGGUGCUGCAUGGUUGUCGUCAGCUCGUGCCGUGAGGUGUCGGGUUAAGUCCCAUAACGAGCGCAACCCCUGUUGCCAGUUAAUUUCUCUGGCGAUACUGCCCCGCAAAACGGGGAGGAAGGCGGGGAUGACGUCAAAUCAGCAUGGCCUUUAUGCCCUGGGCUACACACACGCUACAAUGGGUGGUACAACGGGUUGCAAUGGAGCGAUUCGGAGCUAAUCCUGAAAACCAUCCCCAGUUCGGAUUGCGGGCUGAAACCCGCCUGCAUGAAGUCGGAGUUGCUAGUAACCGCAUAUCAGCAUGGUGCGGUGAAUACGUUCUCGGGCCU
rnacentral:rRNA from 1 species